CAAGGAGCGAGGGUGGAUCCACGCCAGCAGAAUCAAAGGACCCGUGCAGGAACCUAAGGAGUGGACCAGAACAUCUAAGCCUGGGGAUACCAAGUUCACAGAAACGACACCCUCACUGCAUGAAGUGUCGAACGCCAAAUCUAUUCCACAUCCAGGUAGAGCAAAGAACAGCUGAAAUAGCAACCCUGCUUUGUGGAUGGGAAUUACUAGUGCCUGUUGAGUGGGAGAUACCUGAGGAACGGUGGGAAGCUACAAUUAAGAAGUGUCAAAGCAAUUUGCCUGGAAAUCAGCGAAAAGGAAGUGACGAGGAAAUAGAGGGCAAGGCCCGAUGCCCACUGUAGCUGCCACCAAGAAGAUCACAUACCCCUGCUGUGGGCAGCAGCCCCAUAGGCACGGGGGGUGGAGGUAUCGGCCAUAUGGGACCUCUGUUAUUCCUUUAUCUGUCACUCCUCUUUUGUCUCUGCCCUCUGGGGAUACCGACACAGCCACGCCAUGGGUGUUACCGAAAGCUGUACAUGGAAAACACCCAGGUUCCUUUUUCAUUGCACGUACCCAUGUCAACAGUCUCUGUUACAACCCAUCCAAAGUAGAAAACUGUAUGCAAAAUGGGGAAAAGUACUGGAUUGUAGAAAACCUAGGAAUGAGUGGGAGCAGGCUGGGAAGUAAAUGUCCAAAAGGCGAAAGAUGGAUUUGUUUCACAUAUAUUGUUGGGAAUAAAGUCUCAAGCUUAGUAAAAGAACAACUAGUAAAUAAAGAGGCAAAGCCAGCACAACAAUCUAACUCUGUAUCGACCCCAAUUCAAGACAUGUAUGUGAAACUCAAACAACAAUUAAAAAAAAUGAAAUCUCAAAAUUGAGAAAAAAUACCUGUUUGUGGAAUUAGGGGAAAGGAUAGGUAAGGAGCUGAAUGUAACCAACUGCUGGGUCUGUGGAGGGCCUCUGAUGACAGAGGAAUGGCCAUGGAAAGGCAGGAGUUUGAGCCCAGUGGAACUCCUUAAGUGGAAUCGGACAAGGAUCAGGGGAGAAAACAGAGCAGAAGGGUGGGUACUGAGUUCAACAGCGAUAGGAGAGGAGUGUCUCUGGCGUACCGGGAACAAUUUCCUUUACAAAGUAGGAAAUACUCCCUGUAAGAGAUAGAAGGUCAGUAAUGGAACUUUUACCUGGUGGGUCCCCGAGAAACCAGCUCUGUAUUGGACUCAGGAAAAAACAAAGGAAAAGACACUUUAAAAGUACAUCGCUUAUUUUGUAUUCAUCACCAUCAUGCAUCAUUCUUUAAUUCUUUGGAGUUGCUGAGUAUCAUCUUAUCAGUCUUAUCUUUUUCCUUGGCUCCAUUCCGUCUGGUUUCGGGUUCUUUUCUUCUGAUAAGAUUUUCCAGGAAUGUGAAGACCCCCCCCAUCCUUCCCAAACUGUCACCCAAACUACAGACAUUCUACAGCAUUACAUUACAGAACCCAGGCAAAGCUUUUCUAACAUUAAGGAACGUGAAAAAAACCAACAUCACAAUACAUUUGUUAUAAAUAAAGUAUGUAAUUCGUGCUAUUAUGUAUAAAACUGAAACGUAAUAAGACCAUGCAGAGAGAGAGUUUCAAAAUCCCUCCACCAGCCUGGCUGAGAGAAAAAUUUCACAACACUAAAAGAAGUUCUCUCACAGAUGUAAUCAACAAGUGAGGAUUCCACUCAGGUGGGGUUGGAUCUUAGCACCGGGACAUUGACACCAUGACGACUUGAUCACCACCUUCUGAUAUCUACAUCUCAGCUGAUAAGGAAUCAGACAUUCCAGGAACUAAAAAUAACUGUUCCAGGAACCAAAGAUGGCCCAUCCAUCACCAGAGAUGGCCCAUUCAUCAUCUAGGAUGGACAAUUCAUCAGACUCAGGAAAGGCUUUGUGCAGCCCAACUCCAGGACAAGAAAACAUCAUGAAUAUGCUAAAUUGCGAGAAAAAUAUAAUUAAUUCGGACUUGCCCAAAAACUGUAUAAGAAGGAACCAGCCGAAGCAGCACCCGUGAACUUGGGAGGUCUGGUGCGAUAGAGGUCAGAUGUAUGCGUGUUCACCCAGCUCCGACCCCGGGCUCGGGGCUGCAUUUCUCCAUCGUGGCUUUCUGUGUGACCGAUCUUUCGGCCGCGGAAUAAAAUCUAUUUCUUUAUUAAAUUUAA